rnacentral:rRNA from 1 species
UGGGGAAUCUUCCGCAAUGGACGAAAGUCUGACGGAGCAACGCCGCGUGUAUGAUGAAGGUCUUCGGAUUGUAAAGUACUGUCAUUGGGGAAGAACGGUUUUCUUGAAAAGAUUGAGAAGACAUGACGGUACCCAAGGAGGAAGCCCCGGCUAACUACGUGCCAGCAGCCGCGGUAAUACGUAGGGGGCAAGCGUUGUCCGGAAUUAUUGGGCGUAAAGGGCGCGUAGGCGGGCUUUUAAGUCCGGUGUGAAAGAUCAGGGCUCAACCCUGAGAGUGCAUCGGAAACUGGAGGCCUUGAGGACAGGAGAGGAAAGUGGAAUUCCACGUGUAGCGGUGAAAUGCGUAGAUAUGUGGAGGAACACCAGUGGCGAAGGCGACUUUCUGGACUGUAACUGACGCUGAGGCGCGAAAGCGUGGGGAGCAAACAGGAUUAGAUACCCUGGUAGUCCACGCCGUAAACGAUGAGUGCUAGGUGUAGAGGGUAUCGACCCCUUCUGUGCCGCAGUUAACACAAUAAGCACUCCGCCUGGGGAGUACGGCCGCAAGGUUGAAACUCAAAUGAAUUGACGGGGUCAUAGCUGUUUCCU